AAUAUAGGGUGCUUCGCCUGGCUCUCAGGUAGCAUUUGUGCCCCUUAGUCGAAGGCAUUUUCCUUCCAAAAGGCGCCUUGCUGGCGGGUUGCAAAGUCGUUCAAAACCCCUGACCAAGUUGUCCAGGAACUGCACGGUUAUCUCAUGCCGAGUUUAGUUCCACAACAUUCUCGGUUAAGUACCGCUGGGGUGACUGGGGAACCACAAAGUCCUC